rnacentral:rRNA from 1 species
AGCGAACGCUGGCGGCAGGCCUAAUACAUGCAAGUCGACCGGCUCUUCGGAGCAGUGGCGGCCGGGUGAGUAACGCGUGGGAAUGUGCCCUUUGGUACGGAACAACACAGGGAAACUUGUGCUAAUACCGUAUGUGCCCUUCGGGGUCAAGUUUUAUCGCCAUCCGAGCAGCUCGCGUUGGAUUAGGUAGUUGGUGAGGUAAAGGCACACUAAGCCUACGAUCCAUAGCUGGUCUGAGAGGAUGACCAGCCAACCUGGGACGGAGACACGGCCCAGACGCCUACGGGAGGCAGCAGUAGGGAAUCUUGCGCAAUGGGCGAAAGCCUGACGCAGCCAUGCCGCGUGUAUGAUGAAGGUCUUAGUAUUGUAAAAUACUUUCACCGGGGAAGAUGAUUACGGUACCCGGAGAAGAAGCCCCGGCUAACUUCGUGCCAGCCGCCGCGGUAAGAC